UACGUAGGUGGCAAGCGUUGUCCGGAAUUAUUGGGCGUAAAGCGCGCGCAGGCGGUUUCUUAAGUCUGAUGUGAAAGCCCCCGGCUCAACCGGGGAGGGUCAUUGGAAACUGGGAAACUUGAGUGCAGAAGAGAAGAGUGGAAUUCCACGUGUAGCGGUGAAAUACGUAGAGAUGUGGAGGAACACCAGUGGCGAAGGCGACUCUUUGGUCUGUAACUGACGCUGAGGCGCGAAAGCGUGGGGAGCAAACAGG
rnacentral:rRNA from 1 species